rnacentral:rRNA from 1 species
AAUCAACGCUGGCGGCGUGCCUCAGACAUGCAAGUCGAACGAUUAAGACUCCCUUCGGGGAGUGCAUAAAGUGGCGCACGGGUGGGUAACACGUAAGUAAUCUACCCUCGAGUGGGGAAUAACAACCGGAAACGGUUGCUAAUACCGCAUAAUGCAGCGGCACCGCAAGGUGACAGUUGUUAAAGGAGCAAUCCGCUUGAGGAGGAGCUUGCGGCAGAUUAGCUAGUUGGUAGGGUAACGGCUUACCAAGGCUACGAUCUGUAUCCGGCCUGAGAGGGCGGUCGGACACACUGACACUGAAUAACGGGUCAGACUCCUACGGGAGGCAGCAGUCGGGAAUUUUGGGCAAUGGGCGAAAGCCUGACCCAGCAACGCCGCGUGAAGGAUGAAGUAUUUCGGUAUGUAAACUUCGAAAGAAUAGGAAGAAUAAAUGACGGUACUAUUUAUAAGCUCCGGCUAACUACGUGCCAGCCGCCGCCGUAAGAC